rnacentral:rRNA from 1 species
UGGGGAAUAUUGCACAAUGGGCGCAAGCCUGAUGCAGCGACGCCGCGUGGGGGAUGACGGCCUUCGGGUUGUAAACCCCUUUCGCUAGGGACGAAGCUUUUUGUGACGGUACCUAGAUAAGAAGCACCGGCUAACUACGUGCCAGCCGCCGCGGUAAUACGUAGGGUGCGGGCGUUGUCCGGAAUUACUGGGCGUAAAGGGCUCGUAGGUGGUUUGUCGCGUCGUCUGUGAAAUUCCGGGGCUUAACUCCGGGCGUGCAGGCGAUACGGGCAUAACUUGAGUACUGUAGGGGUAACUGGAAUUCCUGGUGUAGCGGUGAAAUGCGCAGAUAUCAGGAGGAACACCGAUGGCGAAGGCAGGUUACUGGGCAGUUACUGACGCUGAGGGGCGAAAGCAUGGGUAGCGAACAGG